UUUAACACUACUUAUGCUCAACGUUUGACUGUUCGUCUUAUUUAAAAAAGAAUUAUAAUUAGUAUUGUUAUUGUUAUUAGAUGAUAAUACAUGAAUAUUAUUCUAUGUGUGAUUAAUAUUAUUAAUUUUUUCAUAAUAUUUUCAAAUAAGACGGACGGUCAAAACACUGGACACGGAUAUCUAUGGCUGCACUUAUU
rfam:Oryza sativa (indica cultivar-group) chromosome 3, whole genome shotgun sequence.